UGCAAAGAUAAAAACGCAACGUGCAUCGCAAGAUGUGCCAGAGCCGGUAGGUAGCCCGGCCGUCCUGAUCUUUCAGGGUAAGUAACCUGCCCCUCCGGGUUGUCCGUUC
rnacentral:ncRNA from 1 species